GAUGAACGCUGGCGGCGUGCCUAACACAUGCAAGUCGAGCGGCAGCGAGGGGUGCUUGCACCCUGUCGGCGAGCGGCGGACGGCUGAGUAACGCGUGGGAACGUGCCCCAAAGUGAGGAAUAACUGCCCGAAAGGGUAGCUAAUACCGCAUAUUAUCUUCGGAUCAAAGGAUUUAUCCGCUUUGGGAGCGGCUCGCGUCGGAUUAGGUAGUUGGUGAGGUAAUGGCUCACCAAGCCGACGAUCCGUAGCUGGUCUGAGAGGAUGACCAGCCAGACUGGAACUGAGACACGGUCCAGACUCGUACGGGAGGCAGCAGUGAGGAAUCUUCCACAAUGGGCGAAAGCCUGAUGGAGCAACGCCGCGGGCAGGACGAAGGCCGUCGGGUUGUAAACUGCUUUUAGAAGUGAGGAAUAUGACGGUAACUGAUGAAUAAGGAUCGGCUAACUACGUG
rnacentral:rRNA from 1 species